rnacentral:rRNA from 1 species
UAGUAGCAAACGGGUGAGUAAUGUAUGUCUAACUUACCCCAAUGUCUGGGAUAACCACGGGAAACUGUGGCUAAUACCGGAUAGAAUACUCGGAGGCAUCUCUGGGUGUUUAAAGGUGCGUAUGCACCGCUUUGGGAUAGGGACAUAUUGCAUUAGCUAGUUGGUAAGGUAAUGGCUUACCAAGGCAAUGAUGCAUAGCCGGACCGAGAGGUUGAACGGCCACAAUGGGACUGAGACACGGCCCAUACUCC